rnacentral:lncRNA from 1 species
CCGGGAUUGGGCGGCUGGUUGGAGGCAGGGCCGGCGCGGGGGAGGCCCCACGGCUCUGCUGUUUUCGGAGGCAAAGGCAUUCAAGCCCCGGCCCUGUCCUGGGCACCCUCGGACCUGCCUGAGGCCCGCGGCCCGGGGCCAGCCGUUCGCCAGACGCGCCGGGCAGGUGAAGCUCACCGUAGGCAUCGCACGUGCCUUGUGUGUGCUGCCGCGGUCUCCCUGCACCUUCAGAGCAAUCUUGUGAGGCAAAUGACGUUAAACGUGUUUAGAGCAUGGAAAGCAAAUGCAAAAAAAAAAAAAAAAAGAAUAAGGAUUUUGUUAAGCUCAUGCAGUCCAUAUGGGCACAGUUGAGACUUCACAGCUCGGAUCCCAGUAUGGGGGAAACAGUUUUAUGCCAUAAAAAACAUACUUUAGAAAAGCAAGAUGAUGGAGAGGCUCUGAGGAAUUGCCAAGGCAGCCCAGCACUUGCUGCUGGCAGGAGUUCAAGCGGGCAGAAUCAGAUGAGAACAGCACUCAUUACUUCAUACGGACAUUGCCGGCCCAUGGGAUUCCUCCUUUGAAGAGGAAUCUUUGGAACUUGAACUGUCUCUUCCAGAAGAAUAGCCAGCAGCAGCCCAAAAAUAUGUUUCAUGACCAGAAUUUAUCACCCCGAUGUAAGACUUGGGAAGAAUCUGUUUAGAUGUUUUGAAAGACAGAUGGUCGCCAUCGCCGCAGACCUGCACAGACUGUUAUCCGUCUGGGCUUUGUGAUAUGCUCCCAACCCAGGGGCGCGUUAACAAACCAUAUAGGGAUACAGUAGAGCCACAGAAGACCAGGAAAAUCCAAACUGCUGGAAUGUGGAACACAGAUAAGGCUCUGUAGACAGGGGCAGCAAGUUUUCUCUGGAAAAGGCCAGAUAGUAGAUCGUUUAGGUUUUGUAGAUCAAGAGUCAAAAUUGAGGAUAGUAUGUAGGUACUUACACAACAACCACAUUACAGCAUAAAAACCAUUCUUAGUUCAUGGAACAUACAAAAACAGGCAGCAGACUGAAUCUGGCUCAUAGCCUGGAGUUUGCCAAUGCCUGCUGUGCACUAUUAAUAAUAGUUAAUUUUUAUCAGAUGAUCAAGUGUACUUUACUUCUGGCCUGUGGAAAGAACUGCCAAGAGUCGGAGAUGUUUACCCUCUGCAAGCUAAGAAAUUAGCCUGUCCCAGAUUCAUGGGUGUUAACAGAAGACAUGAGAUUAUCGGCUCAGAGAUAAAACACAGCCUAUUACUCAGGAGUAACAGCGGUAGCAGGGGCCACAGCGUCUGCAUUUUUGCACAGGUUGCUGAACGCCAGUCCCCACCAAGGGAACUUGAAAAGGGAUGAUACCUGCAUCUUCAGUGGGUUGCGUUAUAGGGGAGGAACUUUGAGCUUGGGAAAACCAAAAUAUUUCCCUGAGUCAUACUCAGCUGUUCAGCAGAAAUGCUUCCUGUGUACUUCCCAGUUUGUCACAGAGAAUGUUAGAAAGAUGUCUACUCAAAGGUCAAAAUUUAAUAAAACCAGUCAUUUUUAC